GCGGAUUCCAUCAUCUCACUGUCAUCACAAAUCGCGCAUCAUCAACAUCGUACAACAACUAUCGCCAUCAAUGUCGCACCACCACGCCGCCGGUGACCUUCACCCAACAGUCUCGCCAUCACAAACAGCACAAUCUCCAUGCGCCACCAUCACCUGCAGAAACCCAAUUCGCACCAUGGUCGUUGCGACUCCACCAUCUUCGCACUUCUUCCGCGCCAUCUUGUUGCGUCUUGAAGAAAUCUCCUCCAUCACCGCAUAAGAACCUGCAUCAAAACCAGACCUGCAAUAAACCCAGCAAUCGCAGAAAUAAUCGCGCCUUGAAGAAACCAUGCGAGUUCUUCAACUCUCUCCAUGACGGCGCAGACGCAGGGGCAAGGGGGGAAGCACCUUCCCUAAUCUGAAACCCUAAUUUGGGAGGAAAAGGGGGCUGACACGUGGCACGCUAUCAUUGGCCNC
rnacentral:lncRNA from 1 species